rnacentral:rRNA from 1 species
UACGUAGGGUGCGAGCGUUGUCCGGAAUUAUUGGGCGUAAAGAGCUUGUAGGCGGUUUGUCGCAUCUGCUGUGAAAAUCCGAGGCUCAACUUCGGACUUGCAGUGGGUACGGGCAGACUAGAGUGUGGUAGGGGAGACUGGAAUUCCUGGUGUAGCGGUGGAAUGCGCAGAUAUCAGGAGGAACACCGAUGGCGAAGGCAGGUCUCUGGGCCACUACUGACGCUGAGAAGCGAAAGCAUGGGGAGCGAACAGG